UGUUUCCUGGGUUGUUCGUAGUGGCUUAACGCCCUUGAGCCUAUGAGCAAAACCCCGGAAGAUAUCUGUGAGUUCGGUGUGCAUGUCCGUGCGUCGGAAAGCCUAAAGAGCUUCAGUUACUUCCACCUUGAACCACUGGGUUCAAGGCCAAAAGUCAAAACGGCAACUUGGGAAACUC
rnacentral:other from 1 species